rnacentral:rRNA from 1 species
UUCCGGUUGAUCCUGCCGGAGGUCACUGCUAUUGGAGUUCGAUUAAGCCAUGCGAGUCAAGAGUUCUUCGUGAACUCGGCGGACUGCUCAGUAACACGUGGGUAAUCUACCCUCGGGCCAGGGAUAACCCCGGGAAACUGGGGAUAAUACCUGAUAGGUGAAGUGGUCUGGAAGGAUACUUCGCCCAAAGCUCCGGCGCCCGAGGAUGAGCCUGCGGCCGAUUAGGUAGUUGGCGGUGUAACGGACCACCAAGCCUGUGAUCGGUACGGGUGGUGAGAGCCAUAGCCCGGAGAUGGGGGCUGAGACACGGCCCCAGGCCCUACGGGGCGCAGCAGGCGCGAAAACUACGCAAUGCGCGAAAGCGUGACGUGGGGACUCCAAGUGCCCUGCCUUAGGGUAGGGCUUUUGUGCAGUGUAAGUAGCUGCACGAAUAAGAGCGGGGUAAGACCGGUGCCAGCCGCCGCGGUAACACCGGCCGCUCAAGUGGUGACCGCUUUUAUUGGGCCUAAAGCGUUCGUAGCCGGUCCGGUAAGUCCUUGGGUAAAUCCUCAGGCUUAACCUGAGGAAUUCCGAGGAUACUGCUGGACUUGGAGUUGAGAGAAGUCGGAGGUACCUCCGGGGUAGGGGUGAAAUCCUAUAAUCCUGGGGGGACCACCAGUGGCGAAGGCGUCCGACUAGAGUAAGCUCGACGGUGAGGGACGAAAGCCAGGGGCGCGAACGGGAUUAGAUACCCCGGUAGUCCUGGCUGUAAACGCUGCGCGCUAGGUGUUACGCCCUCUACGAGGGGACGUAGUGCCGAAGAGAAGUUGAUAAGCGUGCCGCCUGGGAAGUAUUACUGCAAGGUAGAAACUUAAAGGAAUUGGCGGGGGAGCACCACAAGGGGUGGAGUCUGCGGUUCAAUUGGAUUCAACGCCGG